GAUGAACGCUAGCGAUAGGCCUAACACAUGCAAGUCGAGGGGCAGCAUAGAGUAGCAAUACUUUGAUGGCGACCGGCGCACGGGUGAGUAACACGUAUGCAACCUACCUACAUCAGGGGAAUAACCCGGAGAAAUUCGGACUAAUACCGCAUAAUACAGGGAUGCCGCAUGGCAAUAUUUGUUAAAGAUUUAUCGGAUGUAGAUGGGCAUGCGUUCCAUUAGCUAGUUGGUAAGGUAACGGCUUACCAAGGAAACGAUGGAUAGGGGAACUGAGAGGUCUGUCCCCCACACUGGAACUGAGAAACGGACCAGACUCCUACGGGAGGCAGCAGUGAGGAAUAUUGGUCAAUGGACGAGAGUCUGAACCAGCCAAAUCGCGUGAAGGAAGACUGCCCUACGGGUUGUAAACUUCUUUUGUACAGGAAUAGAAGACAUUACGUGUAAUGUAUUGCAUGUACUGUACGAAUAAGCAUCGGCUAACUCCGUGCCAGCAGCCGCCGUAA
rnacentral:rRNA from 1 species